AACUUGAAUUUUGGUUAACAAACCUAAAAAUCAAUAAGUAGUGGACUAUAAGUGGAAUUUUAAAAUCAAAGAAGGAGAUUCUAGUACAAGGAACAAAAGAUAUAAAACUAGACUUACAGCUAGAGAGUUCUCUCAAAGAAAGGGAAUUGGAUAUAAUGAAAUAUUUCCCUUAUUACAAAAUAUACUCCAAUCAGGAUUCUGCUUGUUUUGACUACUCAUUUUAAAUGGAAACUUGAUUAGUUUGAUGUUAAAGCUACAUUUCUAAAUGGUGAUCUUGAUGAGGUUAUUUAUAUGAGUCAACUAAAGGGUUUUAAAGUUAAUCCAAAAUAUGAAAAAGGUAUGUCUGUUAAAAAAGUCUCUUUUUGGCUUAAAAGAAGCCUUCAGACAAUGGUACAAGAAAUUUAACUUAUAUGUUCAAAUUUUGGAUUUUGUUAAGAGCAAUUUUGGAUAUUGUUUCUUUUACAAAUGAUAGGAGAACCUGAAUUUCUUUAUUUGCUAUUAUAUGUUGAUGACAUAUUGCUAGCUUGUCAUGAUAGAUCUGAUAUAAAUUUAAUUAAGUCGAAAUUGGAAUCUGAAUUUGAAAUGAAAAAUCUAGAACAAGCUAAAGGAAUUCUUAGAAUGGAAAUUAAAAGAGUUCGAAAGAAUUGUAUUCUUUAUUUGAAUCAAUGCUCUUAUGUGAAAUAAUACUUAAAGGGUUUUCUAUGCUUGAAUGUAAACCUGUUUCACUUCCUAUUGCUAAUCAUUUUAAAUUGUAUAGUGAACAGUCGACUAAAACAUGUGAUGAGUUUGAAAGAAUGAAAAAUGUACCUUAUGCUAACUUUAUAGGGUCGAUUAUAUAUCUCAUGGUGUGUACUAGACCUGAAGUGGCUCAUGGCACAAGUAUUCUUAAUAGAUUUAUGGCAAACAAAGGUGAAACGCACUAUUUAGUUAUUAAGUGGAUGUUGAAAUAUUUGACAAGUUCAUCUGACUUAGGUUUAAAAUUUAAAAAUUCUUAAAGGCUAUACUGAUUCUGAUUUUGCUGGAAAUUUAGAUGAAAGAAGAUUCACUUCAUCUUAUAUUUUUUACUUUGUCUAAUGGAUGUGUUAGUUGGAAAUCUCAAUUGCAAAAACUCAUAGCCUUAUCUUCUACAGAGGCAGAAUAGAUUGUUGUCUAUGAUGCUGUUAAAGAAAAAUAUUUGGUUACGAGGAUUGUUAAAUGAAAUUGGUUCAAAAAAUGAAAUGGUUAGAAUUUAUACUGAUAAUCAAAGUGCCAUUCACCUUAGUAAAAAUUCUAUAUAUCAUGAUAGAACAAAACAUGUUGAUGUAAAGUUUAAUUUUGUGAGAAAAAUUCCUAUUGAAUUUAAUCCAUCUGAUUUUCGAACCAAGGUACUGUAUAAAUUCAAAAACUGCUCGAAAGGUUGUGAAUUUAGAAUAUCAAGCUGUAUUUUUUUAUAUGUUUACUAAAAUUUUU
rnacentral:lncRNA from 1 species